AGAAAACCCUCCGGGGUGAGUAAAGUGGCGUCCGGGUGAGUAACACGUAGGUAAUCUACCUUAAGGUCCGGAAUAACUUCCCGAAAGGGAAGCUAAUACUGGAUAGAGCGAAGGGUUCGUAAAGAGCCUUUCGGGAAAGGGAGCCGCAAGGUGACCCGCCAUAAGAUGAGCCUGCGUCUCAUUAGCUUGUUGGUAAGGUAACGGCUUACCAAGGCAUUGAUGAGUAGCUGGUCUGAGAGGACGACCAGCCACAUUGGCACUGAAACACGGGCCAGACUCCUACGGGAGGCAGCAGUGGGGAAUAUUGCGCAAUGGACGAAAGUCUGACGCAGCAAUGCCGCGUGAGUGAAGAAGGAUUUCGGUUUGUAAAGCUCUGUCAAGUGGGACGAAAAACUUAGAGGUAAUAAUCUAAGCUUGACGGUACCACUGAAGGAAGCACCGGCUAACUACGUGCCAGCAGCCGCGGUAAUACGUAGGGUGCAAGCGUUGUUCGGAUUUAUUGGGCGUAAAGGGGAGGUAGGUGGUCUCGUUUGUCGAAGGUGAAAUCCCUGAGCUUAACUCAGGAACUGCCUCCGAAACGGCGAGACUGGAGUCCUGGAGAGGGUUGUAGAAUUCCCGGUGUAGCGGUGAAAUGCGUAGAGAUCGGGAGGAAUACCAGAGGCGAAGGCGACAACCUGGACAGGAACUGACACUAAACUCCGAUAGCGUGGGUAGCAAACAGGAUUAGAUACCCUGGUAGUCCACGCCGUAAACGAUGGGCACUAGAUUUAGCGGGAUUUGACCCUUGCUGAGUCGGAGCUAACGCAUUAAGUGCCCCGCCUGGGGAGUACGGUCGCAAGACUAAAACUCAAAGGAAUUGACGGGGGCCCGCACAAGCGGUGGAUCAUGUGGUUUAAUUCG
rnacentral:rRNA from 1 species